rnacentral:lncRNA from 1 species
GCAUUCUUUGUACACACGUGAAAGAAAACUUUUAUGCAAGGUCUUGCAUUUAAAGAGAGCUUUGUGAAUAUUUUGUAUAUUACAGUCUCACUCAGAACUGUUUUUCCACACAUUUAAGGUGUAGUAUAAAUAGGCUAAAACUGGCUUUCAAAAGAGAAACAACUUACAUAUUUAUUUUUAGUGAUAUAAAACUAGCAAUAUUCUUGGAGAAUGAUAACCAUAGCGUUAAUAUGCCUGUUAUGGUAAUUUAAAUUGGGGUUUAUUUCAGCAAACCUGAAUGUUUUUUUAAAGAGAGAAAUACUGUAUUGGCCAAUUACUGUUACUUGAUAACAAUGUUUUAACAAACAGCAAUGUUGUAAAGUUAGUUUCAGUGCACUAUCUACUUGUAUAGUCCUAUGCAAUAACAGUAGUGUUACAUAUAUUCUAUCAGGCCUAGAUGUUUUCUACAGAUGACAUAUGGUGUUAAGAGGCAGGCUGUUGAAUGGAAUUUCUCAGUAGCAGCCUACGAUUGAAUAGCAAGUGGCAUAAAGCAUAUCCAUUCAGAAUGAAGUGCCUUAAAUAUAGCAGUAGUCUCUAGCACUGACUGAACUGUAAUGUAGGAGAAAGUUUCAAGAUGGUAUCUAUAAUCAAGAGGGAUGUGUAGCAUGGUGCCUAUGUAGACAAUAGAAGAGCUUCCAGUUUUCCUUCAGAUAUUUUUAAUAUGGAAUAUAUUUUAGUGACAGAGUGCCAACUUCUUUCAUCAGGAAACCUUAUUCAGGAGGGUUUUUUUGUUUUUGUUUUUUAAGAGAAACAGUUUAAAUGUCAAAUGUGAAUUGGUGAUGGGUAUUGGAGGAUUCAGGGGGAAGGAGUGAUUGUCAGACAUAUGAAUGGAUGGCUUACAUGAAAAUAAUCAACUGCAUAGUUCCCAUGCACGUUGGGCAAUGAGAAUCCUUGGAAACAUUGAUGAUGCUAUCAGUUUUAUAGCUUUAUGACUCAAGGGGGUAGGGAAAAUUAGUUCCCAUUCUUUCAACCCCUCUUAAUUGUAUAGCUCUUUUCCUAGAAUAGUGAUGCAAAUCUGCAUGAACAGCUAAUUGUACCAUAGUGUUCAUUGAUACAAUCAUAGCAUUGUCUAUUUUUUCUCUUCAUAUUUAUAUGGGGGGAGGGGAGCUGGGUGCAAAAGUCAAAGAUUGCAAUGGUAUGAUGCUAGUUUUCCUUAGCUGAUCGUGAGAGUUCUUAAAAAUAGAGUAAGGUUGACUCACCCAUGGCCCAGGGAAUUUGGCCAGGGUUAAGCCAACUUAUAGAAAGCUUUGUUGAAAGAAAGCAUGGCAUGUUGCACCACUGCCCUGACACUCGCAGCUCCUGAGCUCACCAUCGCCUGUUUCUCCAUCCCCUUCUUAACAGACAGUUUCUGGGAGGGGACAGGUGAGCAAGCUCAGGAGAAUGCUGCAACCUUGGGGGUGGUUUUAUUUAUUUCUUUUUUGCCAAAUAGAGUGUGCAUAUGUUUUAGGGACUAGCUAAGCCAAGAGGUGGUGGUUUGGGUUCACUGUUUGUGACAAGGAGAAUGGUCCACACCACUCCCCCCAUCCCUGAGUGCACAAUUGUGACUCGGGGUUGGGCCUCCGUAUGGAGUAACCAAAAUGCCAAACUUGUACACCUGCCUUUGAGUAUGGCAAUGGAAAUACCAAACCUUCUGACUUUGCCAAAAAACCAUACAACCAACCUGGUCAUACAUAGGAUGACAGAGUUCUUUCUGGUUGUUUUAAAAUAUUAAAGCAAUAAGAACAAAUAAAUACAUAGGAAGUUAAAAGAUAUAAAAUAAAGCACAAAGGAAUGCACUUAUUAAUCUUUUUUAAAAAUGCACUGGGGAAAGUUGAUGUUGAUAACAGUAUAUUAAAAAAAAACCCUAUUUCUUGAAAAAAUAAAUGACAAAUGACUGUCUCUUGCGGACGCUUGGUACUGUAAUGUUCAUACUAGUCACCUGCUGUUGGAUGCAGCAAUAAUUUCUGUAUGGUCCAUAGCACUGUAUAUUAUGGAUCAAUAUUAAUGUAUCCAAUGAAAUAAUUGAACUGUUGUUCUUGAUAGCCUCAUUAAAGCAUUUGGUUUUUCACA